AGCUCCUGAGGGCAAAGCCUGGGCCUCAUCCUCUUGUGGAUCCAGGAGAGCAGUCGCUGAAGAGAAAGAGGAAGAAAAGGAGUGGCUAGAAAAGAAAGUUUAUUUCCACUGCAGGAAGCACUGCCUCCCAUCUGAGAAAUGUCCCAAGCAGGAAUCAGUGCUGCGAUGAACUUAUGAGUGAAUGCAUCAAAAAGACCAAGUUGAACUUAUGAGCGAAUGCAUCAAAAAGACCAAGACUUGAUCCCUUGCCCACAAAGAUACAAGGCUGAGGACAAAGCCAUGAAGGAAAAGCCUCACUGAAGAAGAGGAACCUAAGAGAAGCAGGUUCUGCUCUGAUGAACUCCCAUAAAGGCAUUCCCAUAAAGGUGUGGGCCUGAGUGAUAAUCUAGAUAUGGUACAGUUGACAUCAGGUAUAUGGCGGCAGCCAGAAAUUCAACUUUGUCCAUCAGCUCUCUGCACAACAGGAAAGAUGGUGACCUUCCAGGCUUAUCUGAGGUCCAAGAGUAACAUCACAAACACAGUAACUACACCCAGCCAAAGAAAAGCAUACCUGAAUCCAAGAGAGUAUUUACACUGGCUUCAGGGAUGAGGAAAUAAAGGAGUAAGUGAUUAGGA
rnacentral:lncRNA from 1 species